rnacentral:rRNA from 1 species
AGAGUUUGAUCCUGGCUCAGGACGAACGCUGGCGGCGUGCCUAAUACAUGCAAGUCGAACGAACUCUGGUAUUGAUUGGUGCUUGCAUCAUGAUUUACAUUUGAGUGAGUGGCGAACUGGUGAGUAACACGUGGGAAACCUGCCCAGAAGCGGGGGAUAACACCUGGAAACAGAUGCUAAUACCGCAUAACAACUUGGACCGCAUGGUCCGAGUUUGAAAGAUGGCUUCGGCUAUCACUUUUGGAUGGUCCCGCGGCGUAUUAGCUAGAUGGUGGGGUAACGGCUCACCAUGGCAAUGAUACGUAGCCGACCUGAGAGGGUAAUCGGCCACAUUGGGACUGAGACACGGCCCAAACUCCUACGGGAGGCAGCAGUAGGGAAUCUUCCACAAUGGACGAAAGUCUGAUGGAGCAACGCCGCGUGAGUGAAGAAGGGUUUCGGCUCGUAAAACUCUGUUGCUAAAGAAGAACAUAUCUGAGAGUAACUGUUCAGGUAUUGACGGUAUUUAACCAGAAAGCCACGGCUAACUACGUGCCAGCAGCCGCGGUAAUACGUAGGUGGCAAGCGUUGUCCGGAUUUAUUGGGCGUAAAGCGAGCGCAGGCGGUUUUUUAAGUCUGAUGUGAAAGCCUUCGGCUCAACCGAAGAAGUGCAUCGGAAACUGGGAAACUUGAGUACAGAAGAGGACAGUGGAACUCCAUGUGUAGCGGUGAAAUGCGUAGAUAUAUGGAAGAACACCAGUGGCGAAGGCGGCUGUCUGGUCUGUAACUGACGCUGAGGCUCGAAAGUAUGGGUAGCAAACAGGAUUAGAUACCCUGGUAGUCCAUACCGUAAACGAUGAAUGCUAAGUGUUGGAGGGUCUCCGCCCUUCAGUGCUGCAGCUAACGCAUUAAGCAUUCCGCCUGGGGAGUACGGCCGCAAGGCUGAAACUCAAAGGAAUUGACGGGGGCCCGCACAAGCGGUGGAGCAUGUGGUUUAAUUCGAAGCUACGCGAAGAACCUUACCAGGUCUUGACAUACUAUGCAAAUCUAAGAGAUUAGACGUUCCCUUCGGGGACAUGGAUACAGGUGGUGCAUGGUUGUCGUCAGCUCGUGUCGUGAGAUGUUGGGUUAAGUCCCGCAACGAGCGCAACCCUUAUUAUCAGUUGCCAGCAUUAAGUUGGGCACUCUGGUGAGACUGCCGGUGACAAACCGGAGGAAGGUGGGGAUGACGUCAAAUCAUCAUGCCCCUUAUGACCUGGGCUACACACGUGCUACAAUGGAUGGUACAACGAGUUGCGAACUCGCGAGAGUAAGCUAAUCUCUUAAAGCCAUUCUCAGUUCGGAUUGUAGGCUGCAACUCGCCUACAUGAAGUCGGAAUCGCUAGUAAUCGCGGAUCAGCAUGCCGCGGUGAAUACGUUCCCGGGCCUUGUACACACCGCCCGUCACACCAUGAGAGUUUGUAACACCCAAAGUCGGUGGGGUAACCUUUUAGGAACCAGCCGCCUAAGGUGGGACAGAUGAUUAGGGUG